AUUCGUUUUUCGACCACGGUGCAGUACACUUACUUUUUUUAAAAUGAAAACAACAUUCGAUGACGAUGCAGUUCGAUUAGGAAGGGGGCAAAAAGAAAAACAAGGAAGAUGGCCGAGCAGAAGGGAGAGGAAGGGAAUGAGGGAAAUUGAGUGGGGGUGGAUAGAUCGAAGGGGACAGGCGAGGUGAGAGGGGGAGUUGAUUAGAUUUACCACCACCGGACUACGACGAGAUGUAAUAGAAACGUUGCCCUCCGAACUGUGGGUGGUGGUGGUGGUUUGUUUCCUCGGCAAUGAGUUCAACGUUUAUUACGCAACCACAAUGAACGAUAGUACUCGUAUCCCUCUCCCCCUCUUUCCACCCAACAUCCCCCCACCCUACAAAGGAUUCGCACAAUAUGGGAAUCGAACUACCCCACAGGAAGAAAUCGAGAGUGUAGAAAAUAUACGUACGUGUCUUGAUAUGUGUGAGUAAGUGUGCGUGUGUUUGGAGUGUGUGCAUAUGAGAGAGAAUAGACCAGAGAAAUAGUUAGAAUUGCAUGGGGGGAAAAA
rnacentral:lncRNA from 1 species